rnacentral:rRNA from 1 species
AUUGAACGCUGGCGGCAGGCCUAACACAUGCAAGUCGAACGAGUGGCGGACGGGUGUGUAAUGUCUGGGAAACUGCCUGAUGGAGGGGGAUCAUUACGGGAAACGGUAGCUAAUACCGCAUACCAUUAACUGUGCCAAGAUGGGAUUAGCUAGUUGGUGGGGUAACGGCUCACCAAGGCGACGAUCCACAGCUGGUCUGAGAGGUUGACGGGCCACACUGGAACUGAGACACGGUCCAGACUCCGACGGGAUGCAGCAUUGGGGAAUAUUUCACAAUGGGCGCAAGCCUGAUGCAGCCAUGCCGCGUGUAUGAAGAAGGCCUUCGGGUUGUAAAGUACUGUCAUCGGGGAUGCGUUACCCGCAGAAGAAGCACCGGCUAACUCCGUGCCAGCAGCCGCGGUAAUUC